UGCUCAUUUUGGUAAGUCAUACACUAAAAUUGGAACACUAUAGAGAACAUUAGCAUGGUCCCUGUACAAGAAUGAAUCAUUCCAUAUUUUU
ensembl:snRNA Gm22733 predicted gene, 22733